GACGGAGGGUGCAAGCGUCAAUCGGAAUUACUGGGCGUAAAGCGCACGCAGGCGGUCUGUCACGUCGGAUGUGAAAUCCCCGGGCUAAACCUGGGAACUGAAUCCGAAACUGGCAGGCUAGAGUCUUGUAGAGGGGGGUAGAAUUCCAGGUGUAGCGGUGAAAUGCGUAGGGAUCUGGGUGAAUACCGGUGGCGAAGGCGGCCCCCUGGACAAAGACUGACGCUCAGGUGCGAAAGCGUGGGGAGCAAACAGG
rnacentral:misc_RNA from 1 species